UUGCCCAGCAUGGUUACAAAGAUGCCAGGAAGGAAGAUCAUCAUGCAUUAGCAAUUUUUAGUUUAAAGCCUUGAAAAGUUUUUGCCGAGGGAUUCUUAAGAUCUUUGCCUUGGAGAGCCUUGGAGAGCAAUUUGAAUGAGUUGGACUUGCAUAGUAUUUCGGUGAUGUCAAAAGGAUCCUGGAGCCCCAGCCGAUGAUGCGAUUGAGGACCUAAAGAUUCCUUUGGUGCAGGACCAAAGAUCAGCAGAAACCAGAACUUCUAUUUCAGGAGAAGCUUCCUUAGCAUUGCCUUUUAGCGUCAUGUGAGCAGAUGAGGACCCAAGUCUGAAGCACGCGGGUAUGAGCUUGCAGCUCUUAAAGAA
rnacentral:misc_RNA from 1 species